GCGCGAAAACUUUACAAUGCCGGCAACGGCGAUAAGGGGACCUCGAGUGCCAGGUUACAAAUCUGGCUGUCGUGAUGCCUAAAAAGCAUUUCAUAGCAAGGGCCGGGCAAGACCGGUGCCAGCCGCCGCGGUAACACCGGCGGCUCGAGUGGUAACCGUUAUUAUUGGGUCUAAAGGGUCUGUAGCCGGCCGGGUAAGUCUCUUGAGAAAUCUGGCAGCUUAACUGUCAGGCUUUCAGGAGAUACUGUCUGGCUCGAGGCCGGGAGAGGUGAGAGGUACUUCAGGGGUAGGGGUGAAAUCUUGUAAUCCUUGAAGGACCACCAGUGGCGAAGGCGUCUCACCAGAACGGACCUGACGGCAAGGGACGAAAGCUAGGGGCACGAACC
rnacentral:rRNA from 1 species